UACGAAGGGGGCUAGCGUUGUUCGGAAUCACUGGGCGUAAAGCGCUCGUAGGCGGAUCUUUAAGUCAGAGGUGAAAUCCCAAGGCUCAACCUUGGAACUGCCUUUGAUACUGGGGAUCUCGAGUCCGGGAGAGGUGAGUGGAACUGCGAGUGUAGAGGUGAAAUUCGUAGAUAUUCGCAAGAACACCAGUGGCGAAGGCGGCCCACUGGCCCGGUACUGACGCUGAGGAGCGAAAGCGUGGGGAGCAAACAGG
rnacentral:rRNA from 1 species